rnacentral:rRNA from 1 species
UACGUAGGGUCCGAGCGUUGUCCGGAAUUACUGGGCGUAAAGGGCGCGCAGGCGGCUGCUCAAGUCAGGCGUGAAAGGCCUGGGCUCAACCCGGGAAUUGCGCUUGAGACUGGGCUGGCUUGAGUGCGGGAGAGGAUGGUGGAAUUCCCAGUGUAGAGGUGAAAUUCGUAGAUAUUGGGAAGAACACCGAUGGCGAAGGCAGGUCUCUGGGCAUUAACUGACGCUGAGGAGCGAAAGCAUGGGGAGCGAACAGG